CAUCUAGAGGCAAACAUUUGUUGGAACUGCUUUCUAAUGACAGAAUCGGAUCCGAUUUCUAUUUCCAUUAAGAAAUGUUAAACUUUCUUUUAUGAAAUAAGCAAAGCAUUUGAACUUUUAAUUUUUAGCAUACAAUGCGGGGUGCGAUCAACUUCCCGUACACGCAACACAGCAGCCCUCAGGAUAUAGUUACCCGAUGUCGAGAACUUCAGCCAAUAUAGUUGUUAAUAGUGCCUCUACACCUACAGUUGUUGCUGCACAAAGAGAAAGCGAUUGGCUAGUGCCCGCCAUUUUUGCCUGUCUAUGCUGUUUCUGGCCCCUUGGCGUUUUUGCAAUUAAUGCAGCUGUUAAUGCAAGAUCCCAUUACGACGAGGGUGACUAUGUACAUGGAAGAUCCUAUUCAAGAUCGGCUAAACAGUUGACCUUGAUUACACUCGUAUUCGGCAGCCUCUUCAUUACUGGCUUUAUUAUCUACCUUUUCAGAUGAAAGAGAUUAACGAACGAACAGGAGCAACCACACAAAACCCCUUUGGGAUCUAAAGUGUUAACUUUGCUUUAAAUAUUAUAUAUUAAAUCAUGACCAAUUUAUUUGUACUUUAUACUAGUAUUCAAUGAGCAUAGAGUUUUUAAUUCUUGAUUGUAACUAAUGGACAUUUUUCAUACUCAAAUUAACAUUCGAAUUUAUAAGUUAACCUGCUUUCUUUCACUUGGUCAUGUAUUAGUUUGAACAAAAAAUGUUAUCCUGUCUCCAAGAAAUGCUAUCCGAUCAACUGUGAGUUUUUUCCCAGAUAUUUCAAAUCAGUUGUAAUUGUCUUCAAGUUACUAACUUCAGUUUUGCACUGUCUAGUAAAAUUUAUUUGCCAUGCUGUUUUGUGAUUCAUAUACUGUACAGUAGC